rnacentral:tRNA from 1 species
GGGGAUGUAACUUAAUUGGUAGAGUGUAUGCUUUGCAAGCAUAAAGUUGAGAGUUCAAAUCUCUCUAUCUCCA